CCUCACCCCCCUCACGCCGCCAACCUCAGGCCGGCGAGGGGGGGGGUACGACACGGUGUCAAUGCAACACUGUUUUCAUAUUUAUCGCCAUGGUUCAUCUACGGAGGGGGGGUCUGUCGCGUGGAGGACGCCCCUCACCGUAUCGCCUCGUCUGGCGACGCCCUAGUCUGGCCUUUGCCAGACCAAUGUCUGACUCUGUACGCGGUUGGCUGCUUGCCGUCGCUUCCCUGUCGUCAUUGUGUUGUUAAGCCAGCCAAUAGCGCGUCGCGGGGGGGAAAAAAGCCAGCUUGGUGACUGGCUCCCGCAAAAAAACGUAUCGGAAGCAGAAAGAAAUGUAUUGCUCUUCUCCAGACCCUUGUGCCGGGCGGAGUCAAAUCGCCGGCAGAAUGGGCGGGGCUAAACCAGUCUUGCGACGCCCAGGUUCCCCGGACUGAUGGCUGACAGCGGCGGUAACCCGGGGCGACAAGACAGAGAGACCGGAAAGAGAAAAAGAAAGGGAGAGACAGAGAGAGAAAAAACUGUGAACACAACAAACCUUAGACAUCCAGAAGGUGGUGGCAGCUGGUGAAAGACUGUUUAUUGUGUGACUGUAGCUUCACUAUGAAAGACCUUUUUAUCAGGGUAGCGGCAGCCAGCGAUUUGGCAGCGUUGCGGUGAAGACUGCUGUAUCGCCCCGCUGCUGUAGUGACAACACUGUGGAUGGGGGGGCCGCCCGUCAUCCAUGCAGGUCCCCCCCCCACACACACACACUCAGACGCUCUUAUUGUGAAGGUUUACACCACGGUUUCUCGUGCUAUUCAGCUGUCCUCUUUUCAGGUUUCCUCUUCUGCUACUAGUCAGUGGGAGCCCUGUAUAGAGGGGGGUCUCCCCCAAAAAGUAAAAUGGUUGACCGCUCAGCUCGACCUUUGACCUAUCUUUGUUAUGUUGUGACCGUGUACACGCGCGCAUAUGCAAUUUUUAUUUCAGAGGGUGCCCACGUUUUUUUUUUUUGUCGUUGCAAAUACUAGAUAUCUUUAUUUAUUUCAUAGCAAAGAGUAGUACAGGAGAAGUAUGAAUUUCAAGCCAACAAUCAAACCGGUGUAGAUAUUGAGUCAAUUCAAAUUCUAGUUUGGUUAGUGUAUAAAUGGAGUAUAGUAUUCGAUUGAAAUGUGCUGGUUAGUGAGUAGUAUUCAGAGUAGUAGUAGUGGUAGGAGUAGUGGUAUUGUUUUUGUGUUUUGGCCAGAGUCUACCUCAGAACGUUAAGGAGGAAUCGGUGCAGAGAGCAUAAAUAAUCCCCCUUUAAGAAAUAUAUUUUAUUUUUGAACCUGAUCGAUUCUUCAUUAAAAUGCAACACCAAAUCUCCUUGAUCCUCCCCUUCCUCCAUUCAACACCCACGGCCAAACUCCCUUCCCCUGAUGCUUCCUUCCUACUCUUCAUCAAGAGCUUAUCUAGUCCUGGCAGAGAAGUGGAUACUACAACGGUGUGUGUGCAUGUGCGUGUGUGUGUGUGUGUGUGUGUGUGUACGUGUGUGUACACGCGUGCUCGCGUUUGUGCUCGCGUGCAACACCAUGACCCUUUGACCCUCCUCUUCCUCCCCAUUAUCGACAUCAUUGUGGUCCAAAGACAGCUUUUUCGGAAGAAGUAAAACGAUGCAGUUUUCAAGCACAACCCUCGGUGAGUCUGAGGUCUGUCCCUCUGCGUAGAUUAAGAGCUGAUUCGAUGCCGUUACUCAGACAGGAGUGCAGUGAUGUGACAGGUGACCUGUCCUCUCAGAGCAGCACAUCUUCCAAACAGCUUCUUCCCCUGCCCUGUGGCGCCAGAGAUGCUAUGAAACGUUGAACUUGGCUCCAACCCGGUGUGUUUUUGUGUGUGUGACAUUUCGGCCCAUGGAGCUGAUUCCCGGCCACACGCGUCUUCUUGAUUGUACGUAUCGAGCUGUUGUUGUUGUUGUUGUUGUCGUUUCUUUCGGGGGACAGCGGUGGCGGCGGAGGUUGGAGUUGACGUCCGUCGGGAUUAGGAACGAAAACCAAAUUCUGUUCUUGUGAUGCAUAGCUGUGGUUAGCGGGGUCUAGACGCGCGAGGGAGGAUGCACGGCUCGUCCAGAGACGCUGUUGGGGCGCUGCCAUUGAGACACAAACGUCUUCCCGGUCUCGUGGCUCAAACAGAGCUCUCAGCUGAUAUCCUGGCAAGAAACGUCUCUCUCUCUCUCUCUCAAACUCUCUCUCUCUGUGGUUGGCUCCGUCUCUGUCUCCCUCUCUGUCGUUGGCUCUGCCCGUCAGUUGCGGUUACCUUAGGCCUUCUUCUGUGUUUCUUUGUUUAUGGUUGUUUGUCCACAUUUUUCUACUGUGAAUAUCAAGAGAUGAGCUUAUAUAUUUUGAAUGUUUUUCUUGUUAUUCUUAGGCUUAGCAGUACAUGGACAUCUCUUUAAGGGCCAGUCAAAUGUUUAAAAGAGGACCUCUCCCACCACACACGCACACAAAAACACACACCUUCACCCCGGCUCACCUUGGCAGGGGACUCGGACAAUCCUGUGUGCCAUAAGAAGUUAGGAACAGACGUGAACUCUAGAUUGUAACCUUGGUCUCAGGCAGCCUGAUGCUUUGCGGUUGGAGGAGGAAGCGAUACCUACCUUUCCAUCCACACAGACCUCGCUCUCAGCACCUAAACAGACGCAAACAACGGUGUGAGAACCAAGAAAACCAACACACUUUAUCUAUUCUUCCCCCAUCGCAAAAUAAUUAAAAGAAUCAGCAGUACUUCCUGGGAUCCUUCGGGUUUGAUGUGGUUUGGGCUGCCCUCUAGUGGCUGGGUGGGAGUCUCGCAGGAAAGGAGUAGCAACGCAAACAGGGGCCUCUUACCCAUAGUGCCUUGCUCAGACUGACCACCGUCCCAGGCGGUCCCCAUGUAGCCCGAGAAACCGUCACUCACUGGCACGUCUCUGCUACACACUGGAGAUAAUCACACUUCGUCCACAAACACAGAUUAAGAUACAUGCAAACGCCGGUGUACCGCUGGUCUGUGGUCCUUUGAUGGGCUCCUUCUGUCGUCGUAGAUAGAAGUAGACAAUCAGGCGUCUUGGCUGGGUUAUACUGUUAAUUGGGAUGUAUACAUAUGAUUUGUUUGGUUUAGCUCAAUGUCUCUGCUCUGCUUGUGCUGAGUUGCUUUGUGCAUGAAAAACUAAACCAAUUUUGAGCUAAUUUUUUUCGAUCUAUUUUUUUUAACAGCGACGCCCCAAAGCACAUGUGAAAAUGUAUGAUUAUUUACAACUAAGGGAGUGCAUGGACGCUUCGGACACGCAGUUCCAUUUGAAACGCGUUUGUUUGUCCAUUCUUGGUUUUUGUUUAUUUAAAAGAAAGAAAAAGCCAAUCUCCUGAUUGAUAAGCUCGAACUGUAAAUAGAAGCAGCAGAUCUAUUUCCCCCGUUGAAUAAUGAAAGCACUUGGUUGGUUUAGGAAAGUUUAGGCUCGUUUUGUUGAACUCUGCCCCCAGUGGACAGAGGACGCUAAGUCAUGCAGUGCAGGGUGAGAACAAAGCGUUGUACGUAUCGUUGUAUUGUUUUUAAAGAAAAAGUAUUACAUUUUAGAGAUGUUUUCUUUUCUUUUUUUGCCAAAAUAGGGUGGGCAAAUUCAAUUACUUUUUCUGACUGUAAACUUUUACUACUCUUGUACAUUACAAAUUUAACAUUGUUAUUAAUGUGUAUAUAACUUUUUUCUAAAUAAAAUUAAAAAAUAUUUUUUUUCUACUCACCACACCACCUGAGGUCACCACCUAACCCCAUACCGAACUUUAUUUUCUCUUUUUUUUUCUUUCAUAAUUUAUUUUGGUUUUCGUUUUUUGUUUUCUAUGUGAACAACUGGACAAGACCACUGCACGUUUCUUAAGAGAGAAUACGGUGAGGAGAGUUUUGAAUAAGCUAAUGAGAUAAAUUGGCUUGGACCGUAUGUAUCCCUGUCUAAACCCAGCGGUGGGCUGAUUGAACAGUGCUGCCCGAUCCCUUUUGUGAUGGCGCGAAUGAAGAUGUAUAAAAAAAACUUUCCGCUACUUUUGUACCGUGUAACUAAUGAUGUCCGUCUGUCGAUUCUAUGUUUUUAUUUUUAUUUUUUUUGCUGUUGGAUUGUUGACGAAUGAAACACACACACACACACACACAACACACAACUCGCACACACAGACACACACACGCACCACUGUUUAAAAAGAUAUCAAUCCAAAUAUUGAACAUACCCAUAUGGUUAAAGACGCAGGGAUGUCUAAGUGUGUUGUUGAUUUUGGUUAUAGAAAUUAUUGUGUGUCAAUCAAAUUCUAAAAGCAAAUGGCGUUUACUGACAUGUACCAGUAUUGACAAGUCAAUUUAGGGGUCGUAGAGAAAGUGUGAUUUAGGGGGAGGGGACGGAUGGACUCCUUUGGCUCAGGAAGAAGGCAUCACCAUGGUGAUGUUUGACCUCUUCUAGAUAUGACCCGCCAUGGUUUCAUGGAGAGCCAUUUGGAUAGUGAAGGAACCGAAUCAAAAUGUUUUCUCUAGCAACACCCUUUCUCUAGAGUCCAGUGGUCGACUCCAGUAUGCCUAACAACCUGUUUUAGUGUCUAUCCAUUCGCAUGUAUGCUGUUGGUUUAUUUUGUUUUUGGUUCAGUUGUGUCUGUGCAAUGUGUCCUUUUGUUGAUCUCUAUACAAUGGCUUGCUUCUGUGUUACCUGCACACCAUCUCUCUCUCUCUCUCUCUCUCUCUCUCUCUCUCUCUCUCUCUCUCUCUCUCUCCCCACAGAAUGCUGCGUGUAGUCUUUUUUUUCUUUUCGGCAGGAUACCUCUUUUUAGUAAGCGUAAUGACAUUUAAUGUUAUUGAGUAUGCUGAUGUAUUGAGUGGGAUAUGUUUUACAUGUGUACUGUUCUAGGAACCCCAACAGGCCUGUGUAUGUAUGUGCAGUUUGUCCAAAGGCCCCGGCUUCCCUGACCCCAGCCCCAGCCCCACAUCCAUCACACUGGAUCCAAAUGUGCCAUUAUCUUUAUGCAUUGCAAAUCUCGCCAUUUACACACUAACACACACACACACACACAUCAAACAGACGGACAUGUCUAAAUAUACACACACACACACUUUUGUUACAUCAACCACAACACAUUAACAGAAAUACAUAUUGUACAGGAUCAAACAUGUGCCAUGACUAAAUAAAACGCUUGACAAUUUAUUUUUUCUAUGUUUUCAAAAGGAGAGCCAAGCGGUGUGACAUGUACAGAAAAACGUUGGAAUGGUAUGAAAAUAAAAAAUCUUGCUGUGUGUAAAUUAUUCAACAAUUAACUGUUUAUAUUAAAAUUAUGAAUAAAAUUAUUGCAGAAUAUUUGUCUUUGUAAAAAUCUGUCAUUGUUUAUUCGUGUCAAGGAACAAAACACCAAUUCGGUUUGGAUGGAAGGCAUUUAUUCAAUGCCUAAACAUGAAUGAAAGUGGUAAAAACGUUGCCUGAAGAGAACAGAUAGGAAACAUGAAUUGUCUCCUUCAAUGAGCAGACACACUGCAUUGUUCUGUUUGAC
ensembl:lncRNA